rnacentral:tRNA from 1 species
CCUGGUGGCUCAGACGGUAAAGUGUCUGCCUAUAAUGCAGGAGACCUGGGUUCAAUCCCUGGGUCAGGA